GCAUGUGUGGGGUAGUGGUAACCUGGGUCGUUGCCAAAGUGUAUUCCUUGAACUCGACCCGCCGGGAGUUCGAUUCUCUCCGCACGCA